GGAUUAUUUAUUAACAGACAUGGUUUUGUAGCUGGUCGUUCAACGGCCACUAAUUUAGGUUCUUUUUCAGAAUUUUGUGUUUCUUCCUUCAAAGAUGGCUCGCAGGUAGAUACCAUUUAUACGGACUUUUCUAAAGCCUUCGAUAAGGUGCCGCACCUAACACUGCUACACAAGUUGGAGUGCAUUGGCGUUCACUAUAAUUUCCUAGCAUGGUUAAAGUCUUACCUUACAAAUGGGACUCUGUCUGUGUAUAUCGAUGAUUGUAAAUCAGUAGUCCAAUUCACUAACUUUUAACGAUACGAUUUGUCGAGGUCUAAUAUAACGAUUUUUGUGGUUUGCAGUAACGAUUGUGUUAUUCGGUAACUCUUUUUUAACGACACUAUGUGCAGGGCCAUGAAACUGUUGCUGAAAGUGUGCCAGUGGAAGAGGCCCAAAAAACGUUUUUGGAAAUUGCUCAGACCCAAGCAAAUGCCUUAAAAAUGCUAGCAGAGUCGAGUGCAGCGAAUGUACAAAUAGCAAGUAGACAAGCAGAUGCUUUGAAGUUGUUAGCUGAAACAAGUACGGCGAGUGUGCAGGUAGCGAAAUCGUUGGCCGAAGCUAUGAACACAAUGGGUCAAGGUUUAAAGGCAUGUGCGGAUAUGCCUUUAAUAAUUUAACAAACGCUAUCCACGGUGCAGCGAACAA
rnacentral:misc_RNA from 1 species